ensembl:rRNA 5S_rRNA 5S ribosomal RNA
GUCUACGGCCAUACCAUGCUUAAUACGCCUAAUCUCAUCUGAUCUCAGAAGCUAAGCAGGGUCGGGCCUGGUUAGUACUUGGAUGGGAGACCACCAUUUUCUUAACACUACACUUUAUCAGGAUUGUCAGGGUUGUCU